GUAUUCUUUUCAGCGCCGACAGCACCCCGUCUGGGAUCUCUAUUGGGAGGGCGCUAGAUUUGGUCAUGUUGGCUUUGUACCCCGAUACCGCUCCGUAGGCCUCGAGGACGCCCUGCAAGGCUCUCAUUGAGCCGGGGGGGUCGGUGAGCGUCAAGAGCACAUCAUCCGCGUAUGCUGAAACCAGGAACUCUCUGCCUCCCGCUCGAACCCCCCGUAUAUCUGGAUGUUUUCUAAGGGCUUGCAGUAAAGGUUCCAGGGCAAGCACGAAUAGGAGCGGGGAUAAAGGACAUCCCUGCCUGGUUCCAUUGUAUAGUCUAAACGGGUUCAGAGGGGCUCCGGAUAUUUUCACUUGUGCCCGUACAUUACUGUACAUGGCCUUAAUCAACUUAGUAGCCCGUUCAGGGAUCCCCAUGUGGGACAGUAGUGUGAACAAGUAUGUCCAUGUGACUCUGUCGAACGCUUUUUCAGCGUCUAGUGAGACCAGCAUAGUUGGGGUGUGGGUAACCUUUUGUUUCCAGAUGAUGUCUAUGUUCCUGUGAGUGUUCUCAAAUAACUGCCUACCCUGUAUAAAUCCCACUUGGUCUGCAUCUACCAGUGUAUCUAAGAAUGGGUUCAGUCUGGUCGCCUGAAUUUUUGCUAGUAUUUUCAUGUCUUGGUUGAUGAGGG